CCUGGGUCUCGCAGCAAAGGUCUUUGAUAACCAGCAAAACGGCAAAGGGAGGCAGGAAAACCACCCGCAGGGAGGCCAGUGUGGGUUUAAGGAAGUGAGACCAGGACCACAGACUGGGCGCUCCCUGCUGAGUCUGUGGCCCUGAAGGCUGUUCAGCUCUAAGCGUCGGUGCACGGACAGGCCAGACAGGGCUGUAUUGCUCCAAUCGCCCUGCAAGAAUCACAGCCAGACGGGGGCUUCCCGAGUGCUGCCCACCUUGCCGGCACGCAGGAGGAGGUGGCAUGGACUGGGGAGGAGGAAGCACUCUCACUCCUGCUGGAGCCUCUGCCCAGGAACCCCGAUUGGCCCAGCCGUCCCUGGGGAGGCCCAUCCCACGUGUCCCGCACCCCGUGUCUGUCAGCACUGAUCAGGGUCUCCCAGACACCUGCUCUGGGGUUGCCAUGGGGACGAGCGGGAGGGUGAGUGUGGCGCACACAGCUGUCUGUAGACACACAGAGGGCAUGCACGCAUGUGUCUGUGCUCACCUGCAUGUGUUCACACGGACUGGGCACCGCCGGAGGUGUUCACACAGCGGUGUACACCGACCCCUCUGCAGAUGUGCACACACCCAGCAAGGCUACGUCCACAGGCGUGUAUGUGUUCUUGCACCAGGAAGUGGGUCACGCCCCACACCACACAUCGUAUACUCUGUCCCUGCGGCACGCACCUGUCUGGGUGCACCAGGCAGUCUAAGCCCAUGUCACCUAUGUGUACACAUAUGUGCACAUACCUACUCAGGCACACCAGUGUGUGUACACGGCUGUCCAGGCACACUGGGCAGUCCAAGCCCACGCCUGCCCAGACUCUUGGAAUCGGGCACUUUCUGAGGCUGCCCCGAUGGGCGUUCCUUUCCCCAGCCAGUACAUCCUCUCUUCCUAACCCCACGUCUGCUGGACUCUUAAGGUGUCCACGCGGCCAUGAACAUCUCCAGGGCCUGCACUGCCCACUACCAGGACCCCAGCGGAACCCAGCAUCUGGUCACUAGGGGUCUGCAUGGGCAGUCACUUCCUGGGGGCCUGCACCCCUUAAGGAGGGUGAAGGACGGGCCAGCCCAGCUGGGGCUGAAUCCUCACAGCCUUGUUCACAGGGAGAGGCUGACCUGCGCCCAUUUUACAGACAACAAAACUGAGGCUGAGAGAGUAACAGCCCGGCCAGCACAUGGCAGAGCGUGGCGCAGGCCCAGGCCUGCCUUGUGAGGUCCCUGCCGUUCCCUGCAGGGUACAUAGAGGCGGAAGCUGAUGUGGCCCCCACUGGGCGUUCUUUCACUUUCUCUCCUUUGAUUCCACAGUCCUCAGACCUAGGAAUUAAAGAAACGUCCGUAGUUUCCGAUGAAGGAAAUAUUAAUAGAAGCUCAGAGACGUAAGCUCCAUGCAGAUGCACCCCCAAUUCAAGAUCCCUAAGCUCCCAGCCCCACUCCUCUCUACUCUGCCUGUUGCAAGGCCCUCCCGGCCCAGGCUUGGGAGAGAGGUGUGCCCUACACUGCCGUGAGCCCUGAGUGGACCCAGACGGCCAGAGGGAGCAGCCCUCAGCCCAGACUCCACAGCGCAGCCCAGCCCGUCCCUGCAGCCACGAUCGGAGUGCUACUUGGCACACAGACCACAGUGAAAGUGGAGAAACUGAGGCCCAGCAGCAAAAAGUGUCUCGUCGAAGGUCACGAAGGCAGGAAAUAGCAGAUGCCAGGAGGGUCAUGGCACUCAGAGAUGAAAGGAGUCCCUCAUGCCCGGCACUCCCCCGCCCACCAGCCAUCGUGGCCAUCCUGGGCACGUGAGCACCACUGCGCCAGCCCAGCCUGGAGCCUGGUACUGCUGGCCUUGGCAGGCAGACAUUGCUGGUCAGGAAUGCAGAAUCGGCCUUUAAAUACCUCAGCAAUUUCA